rnacentral:rRNA from 2 species
GCCUAACGGCUGAACUGGCAACUUGGAGAAGUGGCAAGUUUUAUAAUGAAAAGAAAUAUAAAUAUCUAUUAUUAUAAAAUUCUAUUAGAAUUGAAUGAAGCUUUGUUUAUAUAUUGAUAAUGACAGUAUAUAUAUCGUGUCUUGACCAAUUACGUGCCAGCAGUCGCGGUAAUACGUAAGAGACUAGUGUUAUUCAUCUUAAUUAGGUUUAAAGGGUACCCAGACGGUCAAUAUAGCUUCUAGAAUGUUAGUACUUGACUAGAGUUUUAUGUAAGAGGGAGUACUUGAGGAGGAGAGAUGAAAUUCCGUGAUACCAAGGGGACUCGGUAAAUGCGAAGGCAGCCCUCUAUGUAUAAAUGAGUUGAAGGAGAAGGCACAGAGAACAAACAGGAUUAGAUACCCUAAUAGUCUUUCGAGUAAAUGAUGAAUGCCAUAGAUUAGGUAGAAAAAAUAUUUGGUCUAUAAAUGAAAGUGUAAGCAUUUCACCUCAAGAGUAAUGUGGCAACGCAGGAACUGAAAUCACUAGACCGUUUCUGACACCAGUAGUGAAGU